AGAACGAACGCUGGCGGCAUGCCUAACACAUGCAAGUCGAACGAGACCUUCGGGUCUAGUGGCGCACGGGUGCGUAACGCGUGGGAAUCUGCCCUUGGGUUCGGAAUAACAGUUAGAAAUGACUGCUAAUACCGAAUGAUGUCGUAAGACCAAAGAUUUAUCGCCCAGGGAUGAGCCCGCGUAAGAUUAGGUAGUUGGUGUGGUAAAGGCGCACCAAGCCGACGAUCUUUAGCUGGUCUGAGAGGAUGAUCAGCCACACUGGGACUGAGACACGGCCCAGACUCCUACGGGAGGCAGCAGUGGGGAAUAUUGGACAAUGGGCGAAAGCCUGAUCCAGCAAUGCCGCGUGAGUGAUGAAGGCCUUAGGGUUGUAAAGCUCUUUUACCCGGGAUGAUAAUGACAGUACCGGAGAAUAAGCUCCGGCUAACUCCGUGCCAGCAGCCGC
rnacentral:rRNA from 1 species